ensembl:snoRNA T13E5.1 ncRNA
GUCACGGGAGCAAUUUCUAGGCCAUCAAAAUUGUUCUCACGUGUCGAAGUUAAAUUCGAGAAUAUAAUGAGAAAUCUUAGACCACGCAAAGAAUUUUCAGGUCAAAAUGUGAAAUCA